ACCGGGUUCACCUUACGUUGUGCAAUUAGCUGUGUUUUGAAGAACCGUAGCAAUGUCUGGUUGGAAUGCACCUCCCACCCAAUAUAAGAAUCCUUUCAACAGUGUUCCCAGGAGAUGGUCAAACAAUCCUUGCUUUAACUCCUGAAAAUACACAGGGGAAGCUUGUUCCUCUAACUGUGAUACCCUCUGCAGAGCAAGAAUAAUUUUGGAAAAAGAAUAAUCCUUUCAUCUUACAGCACAGCCGAAGCCCGGGAUGCGUGGCCAAAGGAAGAAGGAGCAAGAGAUGAUGAAGGAGGAAUAGAGUCCUGAGUGAGCACCUACAAUGCACUAGACACCAGGAACAGAUUCAGAGGAUUUGUAGGCGAAGCACCAAGGCAACCUUCUGACUGGGGAUCUUAUGACACAGAUGUUGAUACACGGAAUGUGCAAGUGUGGAAGAUUCUCGCUGGACUGCGAUGCCUCCAUCCAACACGUAUUUAUUGCUCCGUCGGUGUGUGCAGGUCUGGAGGCCAGAGAUCAAGGUGUCGGCGGGCCGUGCUCCCACCGAACCUGUGGUGGGGCCCUACGAAGAGAGACGCCAGGGAUUCACGUACACAGAGAAAAGACCAUGUGAGGACACGGUGAGAAGGUGGCUAUCUGCAAGCCAAGGAGAGAGGACUCAAGAGAAAGCAGCCCUGCGGACACCUAUCUUGGACUUCUAGGCUCCAGAACUGAGAAAAUAAAUUUCUUUUAAGCCCCC
rnacentral:lncRNA from 1 species